rnacentral:rRNA from 1 species
AACGAACGAUGGCGGCAUGCCUAACACAUGCAAGUCGAACGAGACCUUCGGGCCUAGUGGCGCACGGGUGCGUAACGCGUGGGAACCUGCCCUUAGGUUCGGAAUAACUCCCCGAAAGGGGUGCUAAUACCGGUUAAUGUCUUCGGACCAAAGAUUUAUCGCCUUUGGAUGGGCCCGCGUUGGAUUAGCUAGUUGGUAGGGUAAAAGCCUACCAAGGCGACGAUCCAUAGCUGGUCUGAGAGGAUGAUCAGCCACACUGGGACUGAGACACGGCCCAGACUCCUACGGGAGGCAGCAGUGGGGAAUAUUGGACAAUGGGCGAAAGCCUGAUCCAGCAAUGCCGCGUGAGUGAUGAAGGCCUUAGGGUUGUAAAGCUCUUUUACCCGGGAUGAUAAUGACAGUACCGGGAGAAUAAGCUCCGGCUAACUCCGUG